GACUGAAGAUAUAUUGUCUGAUCUCGGAAGCUGAGCAGGGUCGAGCCUGAGUAGUACUUGGAUGGGAGACCGCCUGGGAAUACCGGGUGCUGUAGGCU
ensembl:rRNA 5S_rRNA 5S ribosomal RNA